rnacentral:rRNA from 1 species
UUUAUCGGAGAGUUUGAUCCUGGCUCAGGAUGAACGCUGGCGGCGUGCCUAAUACAUGCAAGUCGUGCGGGGGAAGAUCCUCCGGGAUCGGACCC